GACGAACGCUGGCGGCGUGCCUAAUACAUGCAAGUCGAACGCAUUUUCUUUCACCGUAGCUUGCUACACCGAAAGAAAAUGAGUGGCGAACGGGUGAGUAACACGUGGGUAACCUGCCCAUCAGCGGGGGAUAACACUUGGAAACAGGUGCUAAUACCGCAUAAUUCCAUUUACCGCAUGGUAGAUGGGUGAAAGGCGCUUUUGCGUCACUGAUGGAUGGACCCGCGGUGCAUUAGCUAGUUGGUGGGGUAACGGCCUACCAAGGCUGCGAUGCAUAGCCGACCUGAGAGGGUGAUCGGCCACACUGGGACUGAGACACGGCCCAGACUCCUACGGGAGGCAGCAGUAGGGAAUCUUCGGCAAUAGACGCAAGUCUGACCGAGCAACGCCGCGUGAGUGAAGAAGGUUUUCGGAUCGUAAAACUCUGUUGUUAGAGAAGAACAAGGAUGAGAGUGGAAAGUUCAUCCCUUGACGGUAUCUAACCAGAAAGCCACGGCUAACUACGUG
rnacentral:rRNA from 1 species